AAUGCUCUACAGGACAGGUAAGAUCACCCCAACCCACACCCACCACGGUCCACAGCAAACAGACAGGUGAGACGCUCGGGCCAGGACGGCAGUGACCGCUCCAUCAGGACGACGGGACAAGGACAGCCUCGCCAGAAACACACAAUAAUGGGACCAGACUACGGCACAAUCCUGGCCUCGCUGCUCUUGACCACUCAGCUGGAAGGAAGAGCUGCCAACGCUCUACAGGACAGGAAGGCACGGACCGCUCCAUCAGGAUGACGGGAGACGGACGGACGUGCCAGACUCAGACAGCGAUGGGACCAGACCACGGAUCACUCCUGGCCUCUCUCCCCUUGAGAACUCAGCUGGCAGGAAGAACUGCCAACGCUCUACAGGACAGAUAAGACAGCCCCAACCCAUUCCCCGCCAUCGUCUCACACCAUACCAGAAGACGACACGGUUGGGUUAUGAUGGGCAUCUCCUGGCCGCCAGGGAGACCCCAGAGCAGAGCAAGCCACUGAAGGAGAAGAAAGCACACAAGGACCCCGUCUCUACCCUGCCAUGGGAUUGUGAAGAGAUCUUGGACUGCAUUUGCAGUAGUCUGAAUCUGGUUUGA
rnacentral:lncRNA from 1 species